AUCCUAGUAUUCCCACGUCCCAUCUCUAUCCCACUUGGUACGUGCUAGUAUAAAGCAAAACAGCAGAUAUUUCAUUUCAAAAUUGCAACCAAUAAUAGAGAUAAAUGAAAUGAUAAUUUUCACAAGAAUUGUUUUUUAAAGGGAGGUUGAGAAAGAGGGUGAUUGUGGAGCUUCAGAACUCAGCACUCAAAGAGAGAGAGAGAGAGUCACAUGCACCACGUUUCUCUCUGAUCACGACUUUUAUAUAGUUGACCCUUUUAAUUCUCUCCUGCUUUAGAUUGUGACUUUCAUGGUUCUUCUCCUGCUUCUUGCCUUGUCAAUCAAUCACUCCUUUCUUUUUUCCAUCUUUUAUGUGCUGUGCUAGCUCUAGAGAGAGACAGAGAGAGAGAGUUGCUCUGUGGAAGCUACUAGACUGCCUUAUCUCUUGUACCACUUAUUUAUAUGCAUAUUUAAUAUCCCACAUUUUCUUUAACUGUAAUUGGCUCAAGAGCUCAAAACCCAAUUCCUUUUUGUUUCUCUUUUGCUCCUAUUUCAGUUUCUUGGCCUUUCUGCUUGCUUUAUGGCUCACAAGAUCAUCAAUUAUUGCUGUUUUUUCUAUUCAUUAAUCUUGUUUUUAAGUGAUCACUAUGCAGCAAUGUAGGGCACCAUCUUUUCUUGAAUUGUGAGAUUAUUUAGCUGGAUGGCUAAAAUUUGCUCUUUUGCAGCAUCAUAUUCAUCUGUAAGUUUUUCUUGUUUAAUUGAGUUCCCUUUUGUUUUAUUCACUAAUGGGAGGCCACAAGAUUUUGCAUUUGACAAUAAUGUUUUGCUGCAUAGUUUUUCCAAUUCAAUCAUUAAAUGAAGAGGGGACCAUUCUCUUGGAAUUCAAGAAAUCUAUCACUGAUCCUUACCUUAAUCUCCAAAACUGGAAUCCUAUGGAUUCCAAUUCUUGCAACUGGACAGGCAUAACAUGUAGCUCCAAAUUUAAGGUUGUCUCUGUGAAUCUUAGUGGCUUCAACUUGUCUGGAAAUUUACCUUCCACCAUUUGUAAAAUCUUGAAGUUUUAGACCUCUGCACUAACAGGCUCCAUUGUGAAUUCCCAUCUCAACUCUGCAACAUCACAUCCCUCACGGAGAUGUAUCUGUGUGAGAAUGACAUGUUUGGAGAAAUCCCAAAUGAGAUUGGCAAUCUUGUCUCCCUUGAGGAGCUUGUGAUAUAUCUAACAGGCGAAAUCCCGUCGUCUAUUGGGCAUUUGAAGAGGCUGAGGAUGAUCAGGGCUGGGAGGAAGGCCCUCUCCCUGUUGAGAUUAGUGAGUGUGAAUGUUAGGAUUGGGUGAGAAUAAGGUAGAGGGCCCUUUCCCUUCUCAGCUGCAAAAACUCACCACUGUCAUUCUUUGGAAUAAUCUUUUUACGGGUGAGAUUCCUCCUGAUUUAGGUAAUUUCACUAGUUUGGAGUUGCUAGCAAUGAAUGGGAAUCUCUUUACAGGCUCCCUCCCUAGAGAAAUAGGGAAACUGUCUACCUUUAUACUAAUCAGCUGAACAGCUGCUGUAUCUCUUUGACAAGGAAACAUUCCUAUUGAGGUUGGGCAGCUGCAGCAGUUGAGGAGGCUUGAUGUCUCCAUAAACAACUUAUUCCUUUCGAGUUUCAAGACCUCCCUUUCCUUAAGGACAUUCAAAAGCAACAUUGGUGUGAUCCCUCCUCUUCUUGGAUACAAAAGCAACAUCUCAAUCAUUACCUCCACUUCACACGUUGAAUUUCCUUAGCCUCGGAUCCAACCAGUUGCUCACUCCAAGUCUUUCUGUCGAGUAUACGAAGCUUCAAAAGCUCUCAGCACUCGAGCUCUACCAAAACCGAUACCUCAGGAAGUUGGAAAGUUUAGGAACAUAGAGAGGCUUCAAUUUCAUUGCCCACAUUCCUCCUGAGAUAGGGAAUCUCGCUGCAUUCAACGUCGAAUUCUGCUGUCUCAUUGAAGCACAAGUUCGCAAAAUAUAUCAUAUUUGCAUAAACACCAAUCUAACCAGAGCCGAUGCUCAUUCUCUAUAAUCUUCUUAGCCAUAUAAUCAAAUUUAUGUCAAGCAACACAAAUGAUUUACAAUAGCCAUUUUACUUUAAAGUGAAUCAAACCUGUAAUAAUUACAUCCAUUAUGGUUUCAAGUCAUUCGGUCAAGAAAACAGUGUAGACAGUAAUCUUUAUCAGAUAUUUUAAGCUAGUACAAGUGUCACACCAAGUUGCAAGGAUUACAGCUACAUUUGUGUGUUUGAUAUAUAAAUUGAGAUAAAGGGUGAUAAAUAAAAGUUAGAUAAAUAAAACCUACAUAACUAAUACAGGGGGAGGAGAUAUUAAAUUUCCCAGUAGAAUAGUGAUAUAAGAGCGGACCUAUUGCUUAAUGCGGGCCUUCUUGUUAAUCAAUAUUGCUAUCAAACGCUUAGAUAAAACAUGAUUAUUUAUCUAUCUUGCUUUAUCUAGGGCUAUCAAAGAUAGAGAGAGAGACCUCCAAAAGAUAUAAAUUGCCAUAUUUUAAUGAUCAAAUAUGAUGCUGAGCUGAAGAAGAUGACAAGUGUAUAAUAUACUAAUAUAUGACGGAGUGAAAGAUGAAACGUAGAAUGACAUAAUCCAAGGAGAUUAGAGAUAAGACACUGGAGACAUCAGAACUCUCCCUAAGAAUCGAUUUUGGAGAAGAAGCACUUAUUUCUGUUUUUUCACAAGAAGCAGCUACCGUAUAUUCAAGCUCUAAUUCUUCAGCAAUAAUUUUUCUUGUUGGGAAGCAAUUUUCUUCUUUCUAGGUAAUCCAACUUUGUAAAUUCUAGGGGUUAAGUAAACAAUGCUAUGCAACAACGGAAUAGAAGAUCUGAUAACAAAUUACCACCCACACAAAAAUAAUGUAAAAAACAGCAAAAUGAAGUAAUAUGAAACAAGGAAGCUGCAUUGCCCAACUUGAAACAUGAAGCUGUUGGAUAAAAACUUUUAAGGUUUAUUUUCUGGAAGAUGCAAUAUCAAUUGUUAUAGCAUCAUAGAUUUGUCCAAAGUUAUUCAGGUAAAGAUUAUGUAGAGGUAAAAGGAGAACAGCACUAAAGCCAUCUGCGGAGUAGAAAAAACAAAGCAACAGAUGAAUGAUCCGCUGAAGGCAAUAUAAGACAACAUUCUUUGUAAGAAAAACUUUAGUCAUUUCUGCAAGUAGACACAUUACAAAAUAUUAUUCUCCUAAAUUCUGAAUUCAACUCUUUUCCAUCAAUUAGCCAAAACUGAUAAUGUUACCGAGAUUCUAAUUAAAAAAUGCUCAAAUGCUAAAUGAAAAUUUAAAGAAAUGAAGUAGGCAGCCAUCCUUUUUCACUGGCACGCUUUUGCAACAGAGAAAUUUCUUUGGCAAUCAAAUAAAAAAGGAUCACAUAGAACAGCUAGGACUGAAAUGAAUAUCAGGUAAUGAAACUAUCAAGUAACACAUCUGUACAAAGAUAAACCAUUCAAUGAAACUUUAAGGCUAUCCCUUCAUCUGUCUAAAGCAACACAAAACAAAUUGCAUUUUGCAUGAUAUAAAUAAGGAGGUGAUUGGUAUGGUGGAAUGGAGGUGGGAAUGGAAUGGUGAUUCCUACCUCCAUUCCAUUCCUAUGCUUGGUAUAGUUUUAUUUUAGGAAUCACCAUUCUUAAGGGAAUCACCAUUCCUUUA